CUCAUUUACAAUACAUAAUGCUUUAAAGAAAUCACAAGAUUAUUUUCUUUAUGUCUUUUAGGUGCAAAGAAUAUCAGAUGAUGUGGAGAAAUGUUCGAUGCUUCAAGACUCUGAAGCUGAUUUUAUUAGGUAAUAUAUUAAUUAUUUAAAUAAUUUGAUAAACUUGUAAUUUAGAUUACAUACUGCAUUGUAGGUUACAUUAUUGCUUAUAUUUAUUAAUUUAAGGUCCACCCAGUGGCUUUUGACUAUUUGAGGGUCAGAUGGUUGUGAAUUCAUACCUCAACAUUGUGCGUCCCGGGAGCAGGCAUCUUUUGCACACAUUAAUUUUUUCAAAGAUGUUUUCUUGGAAUCACAACACUCACUGGAUACAAGACGGACACAUAGAGGCAAAACAAGUGGAAAAGUCUCAGAAGAGGGACAACCCUCAUGCGUGUGCUCAUCUCAGAAAGUUGAUGGACUUUCAGUAUGUAUUUAUUAAAUUGUCUUUUGCAGGAAUAUUCUUAAUUUAAUAGAACAUAAGCUCAAACAACAGAAUUUGUGAUUUAAUGUUGAUUCCAGCAUUUUAUUUGAAUCCUUUUCUUUAAAACAUUUUUAUUUUUAUUUUCAAAUGUUUAAAAAAAUUAUACAAAUUCUGUUGAUUGACCUUCAUUUUUAUAGAAAGUUAAACAAAAAAAGAAAGUUUUUUUAAACAGUUAUUUGUGAUGCUAUGCUAUUUUUAUGAUUAGAUUUAACUGUUGAAAGACUGAAAAUUUUAUUUUACCAGUAAAAGCCUUGCAAUGUCUUUCUGCCAGUUUUAAUAAAUACUUAUUUGCAACAUCAUUGACUUGGUUUUCAUUCAUUUGUAAAUGUAUUAAGAUAGAGCUCAUGAUAAUGCAUUUAUAUCAGUAUUUUAUAGUUUACUGUUAAAAUUAUUCUUUAAAGCAGUUUCAUUGUUAAAUUAUUACAACAUCAUAUUGUAUUUAGGGGUAUUUACAUGAUUUUAUUGGCAACUUUUGUUGCCAGCUAAAUACUGUAAUUUAAUGAAAUUACAAAAAAAUGCUGUAAAAUAUAUUUACAGGAUUUUAUUGGCAACUUUUUUGCCAGGUAAAUACUGUACUUUAGUGAAUUUACAAAAUAUUGCUGUAAAAUAAACUACUUGUAAAAUUCAAUGUUACUGUAAAAAAUACUACAAACUACUGUAUUUCACAUACAGCAAUUAACUGUUAUUUGCUUUGCAGUAAUAUCCUGUAAUCCAUUUUACAGCAAUUAACAUCAUUUUUACAGGAUUUUAUUGGCAACUUUUUUGCCAGUAAAAUCCUGUAAAUUCUACAGUACAUUUUUUACAGUGUAAAUAUGUUCGCGUGAAUCAUUCUUCAUCCAGCUUCACCUAUAGAAAAAGUGAGUAUAAGGUUUUUUUAAUAAAUCUUUGCAAAUCACCUUUUUUAAUAAUGUUUCACAAGUAAACUCUGAGAGCG
rnacentral:lncRNA from 1 species